AUUGAACGCUGGCGGCAUGCCUUACACAUGCAAGUCGAACGGCAGCACGGGAGCAAUCCUGGUGGCGAGUGGCGAACGGGUGAGUAAUAUAUCGGAACGUGCCCAGUCGUGGGGGAUAACGUAGCGAAAGCUACGCUAAUACCGCAUACGAUCUAUGGAUGAAAGCGGGGGAUCGCAAGACCUCGCGCGAUUGGAGCGGCCGAUAUCAGAUUAGGUAGUUGGUGAGGUAAAGGCUCACCAAGCCAACGAUCUGUAGCUGGUCUGAGAGGACGACCAGCCACACUGGAACUGAGACACGGUCCAGACUCCUACGGGAGGCAGCAGUGGGGAAUUUUUGGACAAUGGACGCAAGUCUGAUCCAGCCAUUCCGCGUGCAGGAUGAAGGCCCUCGGGUUGUAAACUGCUUUUGUACGGAACGAAAGGUUUCUAUUAAUACUAGGAGCUCAUGACGGUACCGUAAGAAUAAGCACCGGCUAACUACGUG
rnacentral:rRNA from 1 species